AAUCAACGCUGGCGGCGUGCCUAACACAUGCAAGUCGCACGAGAAAGCGGACUUCAGUCUGCAAGUACAGUGUCGCACGGGUGAGUAACACGUGAAUUAUCUACCUUCGAGUGGGAAAUAACCUCGGGAAACCGAGGCUAAUACCGCAUAACACAGACGAGUCAAAGAAGCAAAGCGCGUGACGAGGAGUUCGCGGCAGUUUAGUUAGUUGGCGGGGUAAUGGCCCACGAAUACUGUGAUCUGUAUCCGGCCUGAGGGGGCGCACGGACACACUGGAACUGAAACACGGUCCAGACUCCUACGGGAGGCAGCAGUGAGGAAUUUUGCGCAAUGGGGGAAACCCUGACGCAGCAACGCCGCGUGGAGGAUGAAAUCCCUUGGGAUGUAAACUCCUUUCGAUCGGGACGAUUAUGACGGUACCGGAAGAAGAAGCCCCGGCUAACUUCGUGCCAGCCGCCGCGGUAAAAC
rnacentral:rRNA from 1 species